AUUGAACGCUGGCGGAAUGCUUUACACAUGCAAGUCGAACGGCAGCACGGGGCAACCUGGUGGCGAGUGGCGAACGGGUGAGUAAUACAUCGGAACGUGCCCAAUCGUGGGGGAUAACGUAGCGAAAGUUACGCUAAUACCGCAUACGAUCUACGGAUGAAAGCGGGGGAUCGCAAGACCUCGCGCGAAUGGAGCGGCCGAUGUCAGAUUAGGUAGUUGGUGGGGUAAAGGCUCACCAAGCCGACGAUCUGUAGCUGGUCUGAGAGGACGACCAGCCACACUGGGACUGAGACACGGCCCAGACUCCUACGGGAGGCAGCAGUGGGGAAUUUUGGACAAUGGGCGCAAGCCUGAUCCGGCCAUUCCGCGUGCAGGAUGAAGGCCUUCGGGUUGUAAACUGCUUUUGUACGGAGCGAAAAGGCUCUCUCUAAUACAGGGGGCUCAUGACGGUACCGUAAGAAUAAGCACCGGCUAACUACGUGCCAGCAGCCGCAGUAACAC
rnacentral:rRNA from 1 species